ensembl:lncRNA
AACAGGAAUCAGGAAACAUUUAUUGCCAAAAGACGAGUACGGCUCCUUUUUCCUUUUCCUUUUUCACGCGUCUCUGGUUCCGCUCUGGCUUCCACUGAAGAUCCCCCCACACUGGCUUGGCACAGCCAUUUACCCCCAUGAUGGUCAGCUGCAGGAGGGACGUCCCCAGCACACCUGAAGAAAAUCUCUCACACACACACACACACACACAUAUAUGGAGCAAAUCCAGGUCAAACGUUUUGUUCAUUUGAAAAACAAAAAAAAUGAAGUGGGGAGGAAGGGAGAGAGAUGGGUGCGGGGGGAAGAGAGUGGGGGACAAUGGGAGAGUGGGGGCAGAAACAGAUAGAGGGGGAAAAGAAGAGAGAGGGUGGAGGGUGGGGAGAGGGCCAGAAAGUGAUAGAGGGGGAAAAGGGAGAGGGUGCCUGUGGGUAAGAGACAAGGAGAAGAGAUGUGAGGAGGAUCAUCGGCAUGUGAGAAAACAUUCAUAGAUCCAAUUAUUUUAAUUUGAUGUACCUUCAUUUAGUUAUUUCAUGUUUGUAUCUACAUUAUAUAUUGUGGUUGUUAAAGUGUAUUUCUGUAUAUGCUUUUCAUGUUUAGUGAGUCUCUGUGCAUAACAACAUGUUAGAGUGUCUCUGUGUAAGUACUUUUAUAUCUUUUAUAUGCGUCUCUGUGUACAUGUACAUGAUAACAGCAGGAAUCAGAGGUUUAUCUCAAGGUACUAACUGUAAAUCACAGCUUUCACCACGCGAUACACCGACACAUCACAUCAUUCACAGCCGUACGGCUGCAGUCUGUCUGGACUCCUCACUUACCUUCAGCUCUGUUGAGUGCAGCAGAAGGCGUCUUCAUCUCCUCUUCACACUCCUAAGGCCUUACGGUUACUUUCUGCAAGUUUCUCUCUGGAAAACUUCAGUGUGUGUAGUUUGAAACUAACUGACUGAAUGUGCCACAGACCUUAUGCUGAGGUGAACGGAGCUUAGAACAUGGAGCUUAGAACAUGGAGCAUAGAACAUGGAACAUGGAGCUUAGAACAUGGAACAUGGAGAAAUGUUCCAUCAUGAUGUCACGUCUCUAUGGUUACAGUGAAGGUAUCUUGAAUAUGGAAAUGAGCCUUUAAAGUAAACGUGUGUGUGGACGGUGUAUCUGUAUUGAUGGAGCUCAUCCACUUCACAUGCUGCAUAAAACACUUUGCUCUGUUUGUUUUCUAUGACCCGAUCAUCUUGAUCUUGAAAGCAAACACUUUAAAGAAUAAAUAAAGAACGAUUUUUGAUUUUGGUCCAUUGUUUCAAGUCGGAAAUAUAUAAACUCUUGAAUCCGGGUCGUUAAACCUCCCGUUCGAGCCCUCUUGUCUGCAGUCAUUAUGCUAAGCUAACCAGCUACCGAUGC